CCCUUAGAUGUUCUGGGCCGCACGCGCGCUACACUGAUGCAUUCAACGAGUGUACCUUGGCCGAGAGGCCUGGGCAAUCUUUUGAACGUGCAUCGUGAUAGGGAUAGAUUAUUGCAAUUAUUAAUCUUGAACGAGGAAUUCCUAGUAAACGCAGAUCAUCAAUCUGCAUUGAUUACGUCCCUGCCCUUUGUACACACCGCCCGUCGCUCCUACCGAUUGAAUGAUCCGAUGAAUAUCAUGGAUUGAGGAUGCAAGCAGGUUCGCCUGUCUUCAUCUUCGAGAAGUGAAGUAAAUCUUAUCAUUUAGAGGAAGGAGAAGUCGUAACA
rnacentral:rRNA from 1 species